GGGUGAGUAACACGUGGGUAACCUGCCCUUGACUUUGGGAUAACUUCAGGAAACUGGGGCUAAUACCAGAUAGGAGCUCCUGCUGCAUGGUGGGGGUUGGAAAGUUUCGGCGGUUGGGGAUGGACUCGCGGCUUAUCAGCUUGUUGGUGGGGUAGUGGCUUACCAAGGCUUUGACGGGUAGCCGGCCUGAGAGGGUGACCGGCCACAUUGGGACUGAGAUACGGCCCAG
rnacentral:rRNA from 1 species